AGGUUCAACCAGGCUGGAGAAACGGAAAGAAGAGUAGAGGAGAGGGGAGCAGGGGAGCUAGGGUCAGAUCCUGUCUUUUUCUUUGACCCUAGCCUCAUUUCCUACCCUGCAGUUGCCCAUCCGGAAUGGCUCUGAAG
rnacentral:miRNA from 1 species